rnacentral:lncRNA from 1 species
GCUGCAUCCAUGGCGAAGAAGGUCGUGUGCGAAGGUUUCCAGGCGAUGUUCGGCCUCUCGGUGGCAGUGUCCUGGCUCACCCCGAGGGCCCAGGACGAACUGCAGAGGCUGACGGGAGCCGCUCUUCCGUGCCCCUCCCAGAUCCCCGAGCCCCGGGCCGCCCAGGCUGAGCUCCCGCCCUCGGAUCGGCGGCCUCGGACCAGCAAGCCCAGAGCUGGGCAUGGCAGCUCGCCGGCACCCCCGUCGGGCUCUGCGAGACAGAGGCUGAGCUGUUUCAUCAAGUUAAGUGGGGGUUUUCAACAUGUGUAGUCCCACACUGUUCGAUAAAAUGCUUCCUCCUUCCCCUUGUUGAUUUUUAACUUAUAUUUCUUGGUUAUAUUGUCUAUCUGUACAUAGUAGUUACUAUUUCAGUCACAAUAAUAAAGUUUCUUUUUCACAAAGGAGGCUCUUUGUCGUUUACAAUUUAUUUGUGUGUUAACAAUGUAUAACAAAUCCAUCCAUCUUCUAAAUGCUUCUGAUUCCGGGUCACAGGGGAGCUAGAUCCUAUCCAUUAAGGCAGGAUACACCCUGGGCAGGACACCAGUCAAUCGCAGAGCACACACUGACACAGAUACUCGCACAAGGGUCAGUUUUUCCAGAAUCUAACUUCCCUAUCUUUGGAAGACGGGAGGAAACGAGAGCACCUGGAGGACAUCCAUGGAGACACAGGGAGAAUAUACAAACUCCACACAGAAAGCACAGCAAGUCUGGAUUUGAA